rnacentral:rRNA from 1 species
CCUACGGGAGGCAGCAGUGGGGAAUAUUGCACAAUGGUCGGAACCCUGAUGCAGCGACGCCGCGUGAGCGAGGAAGUAUUUCGGUAUGUAAAGCUCUAUCAGCAGGGACGCAAAAGGGCGGUACCUGACUAGGAAGCCCCGGCUAACUACGUGCCCGCAGCCGCGGUAAUACGUAGGGGGCACGCGUUAUCCGGGUUUACUGGGUGUAAAGGGAGCGUAGACGGCAAGGCAAGCCAGAAGUGAAAGGGCAGGGCUCAACCCUGUACAUGCUUUUGGAACUGGGGUGCUAGAGUGCAGGAGAGGUAAGUGGAAUGCGUAGUGUAGCGGUGAAAUGCGUAGAUAUUAGGAGGAACACCAGUGGCGAAGGCGGCUUACUGG